GACGAACGCUGGCGGCGCGCCUAACACAUGCAAGUCGAACGGAGCUGAGAGAAGCUUGCUUUUCUUAGCUUAGUGGCGAACGGGUGAGUAACGCGUGAGUAACCUGCUCUGGAGUGGGGGACAACCGGUGGAAACGACUGCUAAUACCGCAUAAGCCCACGAUCCGGCAUCGGAUUGGGGGAAAAGGAUUUAUUCGCUUCAGGAUGGACUCGCGUCCACUUAGCUCGUUGGUGAGGUAACGGCCCACCAAGGCGACGAUUGGUAGCCGGACUGAGAGGUUGAGCCGACACAUUGGGACUGAGACACGGCCCAGAAUCCUACGGGAUGCAGGAGUGGGGGAUAUUGCAACAUGGCGGAAACCCUGAUGCAGCGACGCCGGGUGGAGGAAGAUGGUUUUCGGAUUGUAAACUCCUGUCGUUAGGGACGAUAAUGACGGUACCUAACAAGAAAGCACCGGCUAACUACGUG
rnacentral:rRNA from 1 species